rnacentral:rRNA from 1 species
AGAGUUUGAUCAUGGCUCAGAUUGAACGCUGGCGGCAGGCCUAACACAUGCAAGUCGAGCGGUAACAGGUCCAGCUUGCUGGAUGCUGACGAGCGGCGGACGGGUGAGUAAUGCAUAGGAAUCUGCCCGAUAGUGGGGGAUAACCUGGGGAAACCCAGGCUAAUACCGCAUACGUCCUACGGGAGAAAGGGGGCUCCGGCUCCCGCUAUGGGAUGAGCCUAUGUCGGAUUAGCUAGUUGGUGAGGUAACGGCUCACCAAGGCCACGAUCCGUAGCUGGUCUGAGAGGAUGAUCAGCCACAUCGGGACUGAGACACGGCCCGAACUCCUACGGGAGGCAGCAGUGGGGAAUAUUGGACAAUGGGGGCAACCCUGAUCCAGCCAUGCCGCGUGUGUGAAGAAGGCCCUCGGGUUGUAAAGCACUUUCAGCGAGGAAGAACGCCUAGCGGUUAAUACCCGUUAGGAAAGACAUCACUCGCAGAAGAAGCACCGGCUAACUCC